CUCUCUCUCUCUCUCUCUCUCUGUGUGUGUGUGUGUAUGUAUAUGUAUGUACACACACAGAGAGAGAGAGAGAGAGAGAGAGAGAGAGAGAG